UUUUUUUUCUUUUUUUGGUUGUGCCCACAGUAUGUGGAAAUUGCCCUGGCCAGUGACCUGAACCCUCACCACAGCAGUGACCUGAGCUGCUGAAGUGACAACGCCUGAUGUCCCUGACCUACUGCACCACAAGAGAACUCUCAGAAAGAAUAACUUUCAACUAGUGGCACUCAGUCUAUGAACUUCCAUAGACACACACACAUGAAAGGAAAAAGGAAAAGAAAAGAACCUCGAUCCAGUCUCAUACCUUAUAUAAAAAUUAACUCAAAAUGCAUCACAGACGCCAAUGUAAAACACCAAGUUAUCUUUUGGGGGAAAAAUGGGAUAAAAUCUUGGGGAAUCUAGGAUUAGAUGUAGAGUUUUAAAACUUGACAUCAAAAGUACAGUCCAUAAAAGGAGAAACUGGACUUCAUAAAAAUGAAAAACUUUCAUUCCGAGGAAGACCCGAGGGAGAGGAUGAAAAGAUAAGCUAAAGGCUAGGAGAAAAAAAAUUGAUAAAGGACUAGUAUCUAGAAUAUAUAAAGAAUUCUUAAAACUUAAUGGUAAAAAAAACAGUCAAAUUAGAAAAUGGGCAAAAGACCUGAAGUGACAUUGCACCGAAGAGGAUGUACAGAUGGCAAAUAAACACAUGAAAAGACACAUCAUCAGUGAUUAGGGAAAAGCAAAUUAAAACCACAAUGUGAUUUCACUCCAUGCCUAUCAGGUGGCCAAACUAAAAAAUAACAAUCCAAAGCUGGCAAGGAUGCUGAGAAACUGGACUGCUCAGACCAUUGCUGGUAGGAAUGUAUGUGGAUAUUCACAGCACCUGUAUUCCUAGGUCAAAAACUAGAUGCAACCCAGAUGCUUCAAUGGGUGAACAGUCCUUUGAGGGUGAACAGUUAAAAGCACAGUGUGGAGUGUUCAAACCACAGGAAACUACUGAGCCUCAACAUGAAAUGAUCUACAGAUACGUGCAACAACCUGGGUGAAUUAUGUCCUCAAAGAUUACAUACUAUAUGAUUCCAUUUAUAUAACACGCUUGAAAAUUACAGAAGUUCCCUGGUGGCUCAGUGGGUUAAGGAUCUGGCGCUGUCACUGCUGUGGUGCAGGUUUGAUCCCUGGCCUGGGAACUAAGGUUGGAGCCAAAAAAAGGACAAAGAUGAAGGAGAAAUUGAAAGAAAGAAAGAAAGAAAAAAGAAAGAGAAAGGAAGGAAGGAAGGGAGAAAGAGAGAGGGAGGGAAGGAAGAAGGAGGGAGGGAGGGAGGAGCGGGCUCUGCGUGAAGGAAAUGCCCUCCAGCCCAGCUGCGUGCAGGUCACUCAAUACCCUGCUUGUGACGGUGCGGGUCUGUAAGGGGCUUCGUUAGAGGAAGCUGGGUAAAGGGUACAAGAGCUCUCUCUGUAUUAUUUCUUGGAACAGCAUGUGAAUCUACAGUUAACCCAAAAUAAAAGAAGUUAAAAACUGGAUAACUGUAAUGCGACUGUGGAGAAAGCAUUACCAAUAAGCUUAGAAACAAACACAGACACACACCACCCAUCGAUCCUCACUUAGCUCGUGCUCGAUUCCUCACCCUCCUCCCUGCUCUAGGGAUGAGCUGGCAGAUUCAGAAAUGUGCCCCAAAAUAAAUGUACAAAGUGGAAUACUACUUUAGGAGACGGAGUAGGUCACAGAGCAAGACUCCAGAACGUCCGCUUGCCUGUCUUCUACCAAGAGCUGUCUCCAAGUCUGGGAGGCGCUAGAGCCGCCCGUGUCUGCAGUGAUGGGAGCGUGACGACCUGGACUGCAGUCUCACUUGCAGGUGCCCAUUGAGGGCCUGGAUGGGAACUUGAUUCCCCAGUGCUUUCCACGUAAGCCAGGGAAGGCGAGGGCACUAAGAUCAGGAAGAAGAGACAGAGAAAAGGCAUCGGGGCUCUUUGAUGUUGUUUGUUUCUUCCUUUUUUUUUCCUUUUUUUUUUUUUAAUGGCCAUACCCACGGCAAGGCAUGAGGCUUUUGAUGAAGCCAGGGAGGCUGCCAGGUGGCAAAGUAACCCGGAUCACAAAGAAAUACUGCUGUAAUCUGGCCUCCACUAGGAUACAACCUAAGAAACUUGUCUUCAGGUUUAUCUGAAAAGUGGCAGAAAUCUUCCUGUUCCAUCUUUGCUAACCUGCCUUCUCUACAAGAAGUCCAACACCUUUUCGAGUACACCGGGCUGAGCUGCUUUCUCGUGAUCUCUGACUGAUCACGAGCACGUUCACGCAGCGUCAGGGGUCACUUGCUAAGGACAGUAACGCAUUACUAUUUAUCUCUUGAUGGUAAUGACAAGUGGCUAUUAUUUACGGAGUGUUUACUAUCAACUGCUGAACUACUUGAGGUAUUGCUCCCCAAAUUUUACAAAGGAGGAAACAGGCUUAGAGAGCUUGUCCAAGAUGAUAGGAUACAUAAGUAUGAGAAGUGAGAUUUAAACUGGGGAUUUCGUCUGAUUUGUUGGAACAUACUAUGUGCCAGUACGUUUAUUUAAAUUAAUAGGAAAAUAGGUUACUGGGUUUUUUUCUCACAGCAAUGACAGAUCCUUAAUCCACUGGAGCGAAGUCAGGGAUUAAACCUGCAUCCUCAUUAUUUUUUGUCUUUUUAGGGCUGCACCUGCAGCAUACAGAAAUGCACAGGCUAGGGGUCGAAUAGGAACGGUAGUUGCUGGCCUACACCACAGCCACAGUAAUGCAGGAUCUGAGCUGCAUCAUCUGUGACCUACGCCGCAGUUCACAGCAACACCGGACCCUUAACCCACUGAGGCCAGGGAUCGAACCCUCGUCCUCAUGGAUCCUAGUUGGGUUCGUUUCCGCUGAGCCACGAUGGGAACUCCCCUAAUGGCUACUUUAAAGUGUAUACUUGUUAUAAGAGAUUGAAAUAUUACCGACACACAACAGUUAGUUGUUCCUCCACCCCCCCACCACCCUCCACACUCUGGCCAACGUGGGGUAUUAUCACUUUUUAAAGAAUCUCUGCCAAUAUCACUUUUUAUCUUCUACGGACUUUAUGCUAGACUGAGGUAUAUUUUUAUUUUCUCUUGUUUCUCUUCAUGAGCUGUGCCCAUUUUCUAUCAGUUUCUUUUUAUAACUUAAGGAUUUGUAAAACCAUUUAUAUAAUAAGAAAAUGAGCCCCUUUCACAUAUGUUGUGAAUAUUUUUCUUUCUUCUGCUUGUUUUACAGAUAUUUUGACAUAUAAUUUGUACCAAACUUAUCAAUUAUAGGAUGAUUCUGAGGUUUUUGGUUUUUACAUUAAUGGUAUACAUAUGUGUGUGUGUGUGUGUGUGUGUGUAUCUCCUCAGUCCAGCAAAAUGUAUGGCUCUCCCUUGUUCCGUAAACAAAGUAUUUUAUUCAGACUGUAAGAAUAGUCACGAUAAAACUGCAAAAUGUUGCUUUUUUAAGAGAGUCUACUAGUUAUUUUAGGAUCUCAAUUUAGGAGCAUCUAGAAUAGGAAAUGAAAUGAACACGUCUUUCAAACAUAGAGGGAAGAACACAUGUCUGGAAUCUGAGAAAUGGAAAAACCAAAUGAAAGGAGGAAAAACAAAGAAAACAUGUCAUCGGGCUCAAAAUUCACAUGAGGGGGAAAAGCCCCAUAUACAUCAAUUUUUAAAAACCUUACUUUAGAGACCAAAAGACCUUUCUCAGGGAGAAAAAGCCCCCAAGGUUCUUACCUAUGUGAAAGAGCCUGAGAAAUGGGGGGGUGGGGGGGUGGACUGGGCCUUCAUUCUACCCCGAGGGCAUCUUGGGGAGCUCCGCCCCUCCCCGGUGGGGCUGACAGGACUGCCUUUUCCCUGCGGCCCCCUUGGCGGUCACUUCCAAGAGGCUUGACCUGCUGUGGGCUGAGGCUGCACGUCUUCCGGGGCUGGCCCCGCUCCAGGCUACCCACUCCUUAGCGGGAAUGGAAGUGGCCGUCUGCUCUUCCCACCGCCAUCGACUGCUCACCCCACCAACCACAUCACCCCUUCAGCCCUGCCCACCAAGGUCACCGAGGACCUCGUGUUCCCCAGCCCUCUGGACAAGUGGCUUCCUCUGCCUCUCUGUGGCAUCUAUGCCCUUCCUCCUGCUCCAUAAGUAUUCGGGCCAGGCUUCCAGGUUUGCUUCUCACCUCUGGCUAUUCUAUUUUCAUCCCCGUCAAGGAUUCAUUCCUUUGGCUGAUACUUCUCUGCUUUGGUCCACAGCCCACGUCUCACCUUGCAGACUCUCUGGGGUGAUCCGGUCCAUAACCAUGUGGCCGUCCCACAGGAACCCUAAUUUCAGUCCAGGCCAAACAACUCAAAUCCCCAAAAGGCAAUACAGGCCAUUGACACAAACCUGUUCUGUCUGUAUCCCCGGCUCAGUGCAUGAGCCACCUUCCGCCUCUCGACCAAGCUGGGAACCCCGGCUCCCCUUACACUGAUGCCAUCAACUUACACUCUCUCACCCCAAGCCUUCACUCUGUCUCCCGACUCAUCGAAUUGCCAGCUCCAGCCUCUCUAAUCCAUCACAUGGAACAGCCAGAACCUUCUCGUCAAAGGGCAAAUCUGAUGUUACUUUCCGGCUGAAAACCCUGCUGUGAUGCCCCACCAGCUUCAGGAUCAAACCCAGAUCCCUCAGUACGGCCCCCAAGGCCCCAGGUGACCCGCGCCUGCUCACUCUGCACCCCACACCUCAGUGCUAAUCGAAACUACUGGUUUUGCAAGGUAAGAUUUUAACAAUAUUGUUAAGACAUAAAAUGCUACGUCUACGUGAAUUAAUUUUUUUCCAAUGCUAUGAAACCCAAACAAAAUACAGGAAUAAAUUUAACAUUGCAAUGGAUGCUAUAUAGCCAACUUUUUUGCAUAAUCCCUAAUUUGACAAUUUUCUUUAAUCAAAAAAUUUUAAUUCUUAGUUGAUUUUAUUUUGAGCAAAUAUGAAUACACAUAAAAACUUAUACUAAUACUUGUAUCAUCUGUUUAAAAAAAAUAAAAGAAACUAUUGGAGUUCCCAUCGUGGUGCGGCGGAAACAAAUCCGACUAGGAACCAUGAGGUUGCGGGUUCGAUCCCUGGCCUCGCUCAGUGGGUUAAGGAUCUGGUGUUGCCAUGAGCUGUAGUGUAGGUAGGUCACAGACGUGGCUCGGAUCUGGCGUUGUGGCUCUGGCGUAGGCCAGCAGCUACAGCUCCGAUUAGACCCCUAGCCUGGGAAUCUCCCUAUGCUAUGAGUUCGGCCCUAAAAAGGAAACAAACAAACAAAAAACCUGGGGGUCCAACAGAGUGUGGCUCCCUCUAUUUUGCAAGACAUAAAAGAGUCACAUACCUGGUAGGAACAGAGGGCUUUUCAACAUAAAAAGUAGAUAGGACAUAACAGUGGUACUAUAUUCAACAUAUGGAAAAAUAAAUUGUUUUCUAAUGCAAAAAAAUCACAACAUAAAAUUUUACUUUAUAACAUUAAGUUGUACCUAAUUGUUUUCUUUUUUCUCUUUCUUUCUUUC
ensembl:lncRNA